AACGACCGUACCAUGCUGAAUAUACCGGUUCUCGUUAGAUCACCGAAGUUAAGCAUCAUUGGGCGCGGUCAGUACUUGGGUGGGUGCCACCUGGGAACACUGCGUGCCGUU
rnacentral:rRNA from 1 species